rnacentral:rRNA from 1 species
ACAGGAUUUGGUACCCUGGUAGUCCAUGCUGUAAACAAUAAAUAUUAAAUAUUUGAUCUGGUUAAACAUAUAAUUUUAUAUGGGAAGAAAAUCAUUUUAGAUUUUAACAUCAAAUAUUAAAAGUUAACACGUUAAAUAUUUCGCCUGGGGAGUAAAACCGCAAGGUUGAAACUCAAAGGAAUUGACGGGAGCUUAUACUUACGGUGGAGCAUGUGGUUUAAUCCGAUAGUCCGCGUGGAAUCUUACCAAUUUUUGACAGUUAUUUAGUUUUGAUUAAAUAAACAGGUGUUGCAUGGUCGUUGUCAGCUUAUGUUUUGAAAUUUUAUAAGUAUAACCUCUUAAUUUAAUUUACUAAUAUUUAGAAAAAUUUUUAAACUAAAAAUUACUAAGUAAGUACUAUUAAAUUAGAAAUAUAAAAGUUUUUUUAUAUUUUAUGAGGAUGAAAAUAGAUCGUUAUGACCCU